AUGAUCGAUUCCACAUGCAGUAGAGUACCGGAAAGGCCUCCUAAUGGGAUCACGGAAGGAGUUGCGGAGGCAUUAAAAUUGUCUCAGGAGGAUCUCGGAUGGUUUCCCUAUGAAAAAAAAAAUCUUUCAGACGAAACCACGUGGCGCUCACAAGGCAUCAGGACGUGCCUACCCCCCAGGGUGUGCCCUGUUGCAUUGUCGUCUCCUCAUUUGUCCUCUGGUCUCCUACUGAAGCUUCUCGGGCUCAUUCUUCCAGAAAAAAAUGAUCAAAAAGAUUCAUAUCAUUUGGACUCCGUUUGGUACAGAUUUUCUAGAAAACAAGAGACAAGCACAAAAUAG
rnacentral:rRNA from 1 species